AAUAAGGUGCCCGAGCAAGGGGUCAUUUUGAUGAAAUGGACCAGGUGGAACCAUCCACCCUUAUUA
rnacentral:tRNA from 1 species